UGGGGAAUUUUGGACAAUGGGGGCAACCCUGAUCCAGCCAUGCCGCGUGAGUGAAGAAGGCCUUCGGGUUGUAAAGCUCUUUCGGACGGGACGAAAUGGUUAGCGUGAAUAACGCUGACUGAUGACGGUACUCGGAGAAGAAGCUCCGGCUAACUUCGUGCCAGCAGCCGCGGUAAUACGAAGGGGGCUAGCGUUGUUCGGAUUUACUGGGCGUAAAGCGCGUGUAGGCGGGUCGUUAAGUUGGGGGUGAAAUCCCGAGGCUCAACCUCGGAACUGCCUCCAAAACUGGCGACCUGGAGCAGAUGAGAGGCGAGUGGAAUUCCGAGUGUAGAGGUGAAAUUCGUAGAUAUUCGGAGGAACACCAGUGGCGAAGGCGACUCGCUGGCAUCUUGCUGACGCUGAGACGCGAAAGCGUGGGGAGCAAACAGGAUUAGAUACCCCAGUAGUCCCUGAGCGGGCUGGCAAGGCGCAU
rnacentral:rRNA from 1 species